rnacentral:rRNA from 1 species
UAACUAAGCGGAGGAAAAGAAACCAACUGGGAUUUCCCUAGUAACGGCGAGUGAAGCGGAAGACUGAAGCCCAGCGCUGAAUCCGCCGCGGUUAACACCCGGCCGGAAUUGUAGCGUUAGGGACAUUAGCCAGUGGACGAAACUAUCGCUCAAGUCCCUCCGAACGGGGCCCAUCCCAUAGCGGGUGCCAGGCCUAUGCUAGCGAGUACGUUUCGUUUACCGCUCUUGUCCCACGAGUCGGGUUGUUUGGGAAUGCAGCCCAAAGGCGGAGGUAAACUCCUCCUAAGGCUUAAUACCGGUGCGAGGCCGAUAGCGGACAAGUACCGCGAGGGAAAGU